ACUCUUACCUGGCAGGGGAGAUACCAUGACCAAGCAGGUAGUUUUCCCAGAAUGAGGCUCAUCCAUUCCACUCGAGGUAUGCUGACCCUGCCAUUUCUCCAAAUGCAGGAAACACAACUGUCCAAUUUGUGGUGGUGGAAUCUGCUCAGAAACUCUGC
ensembl:snRNA U1 U1 spliceosomal RNA